GUUAGGGUGGCAGAGCCCGGUAACUGCGUAAAACUUAAACCUUUACUAUCAGAGGUUC
rnacentral:tRNA from 1 species